rnacentral:rRNA from 1 species
UACGUAGGGGGCGAGCGUUGUCCGGAUUUAUUGGGCGUAAAGAGCGUGUAGGCGGUUCGGUAAGUCUGUCGUGAAAUCCUGAGGCUCAACCUUGGACGUGCGAUGGAUACUGCCGGGCUAGAGUCCGGAAGAGGCGAGUGGAAUUCCUGGUGUAGCGGUGAAAUGCGCAGAUAUCAGGAGGAACACCGAUGGCGAAGGCAGCUCGCUGGGACGGUACUGACGCUGAGGCGCGAAAGCGUGGGGAGCAAACAGG